rnacentral:rRNA from 1 species
GGCCCCGCACAAGCGGUGGAGCAUGUGGUUUAAUUCGAUGAUACGCGAGGAACCUUACCAGGGCUUAAAUGUAGUGGGACAGGUCUAGAGAUAGACCCUUCUUCGGACUCAUUACAAGGUGCUGCAUGGUUGUCGUCAGCUCGUGCCGUGAGGUGUCAGGUUAAGUCCUAUAACGAGCGCAACCCCUAUCGUUAGUUGCCAGCGGGUAAUGCCGGGAACUCUGACGAAACUGCCAGUGCAAACUGUGAGGAAGGUGGGGGAUGACGUCAAAUCAUCACGGCCCUUACGUCCUGGGCUACACACGUGCUACAAUGGCCGGUAAGAGAGCAGCCCACUUCGCAAAGAAGGGCAAGG